AGUGAACGCUGGCGGUAGGCCUAACACAUGCAAGUCGAACGGCAGCACAGUAAGAGCUUGCUCUUACGGGUGGCGAGUGGCGGACGGGUGAGGAAUACAUCGGAAUCUACUUUUUCUUGGGUGAUAACGUAGGGAAACUUACGCUAAUACCGCAUACGACCUACGGGUUAAAGCAGUGGAUCUUCGGACCUUUCGCGAUUGAAUGAGCCGAUGUCGGAUUAGCUAGUUGGCGGGGUAAAGGCCCACCAAGGCGACGAUCCGUAGCUGGUCUGAGAGGAUGAUCAGCCACACUGGAACUGAGACACGGUCCAGACUCCUACGGGAGGCAGCAGUGGGGAAUAUUGGACAAUGGGCGCAAGCCUGAUCCAGCCAUACCGCGUGGGUGAAGAAGGCCUUCGGGUUGUAAAGCCCUUUUGUUGGGAAAGAAAAGCAGCAGGUUAAUACCCCGCUGUUCUGACGGUACCCAAAGAAUAAGCACCGGCUAACUUCGUG
rnacentral:rRNA from 1 species